AUGAAAUCUGCGGUUGGUUUUUCAAUUCCUAUUUCGGACAUAAUUGGCCAACUGUGAUUAUCAUUCAAAUAAAAUGCGUGAAACUAGAUGUGUUAUGCAUCCCCAUAUUCAAUUUAAGGCAAAAAGGUGAUUAUUCCCGAGAAAAUUGAUGAAAAAAUAAUAUAGGCCUGAAAAAAAGUUAUCAGCAUGCGGGAUUGGAUUAAGCCCUUUGCGUUUUAGAGCCUUUGUAAACAUUGGCGUGUUUCAUUUUCCAUUUGGGCCCUAUGUCAAACGACCAAACACGACGGCAGGAUUUGUUUUUGUUAUUGUUUUGUUUUUUGGCCUCGUAGGCCAAUCCAAAACAAAUUUCGUUUUCGUGUUGGGCCGUUUGAAUCAAAAAUAUAUUUUCGCUCGUUUAUGUUUGUUAAAGAGUUAAUAUCGCGUUUUUUCUUAUAAUUUCUAUUGUACAUCGAGUAUUCCUUCAUUCCAGUGGGAAAGUUCGUGAUCCUUAGAUGACUAAAAAAGCCCACCAACUUGGAUAAUUAUGGCUGGUAGGUGCUCCAGGAAAAAGGGUGAGGAAGAAAUAACGUUGUACGAUGCCGACGGAGGCGAUUGUUGCAUUCGCAUGUUGCAGCCAAAUCGCAUGACUAUCUUUGUCGAACCUGUACGUUGCCUACGGGUCGAUGGCAACGACGGCUUGACCGGCUACAACCAGGAGGAAAAGGAGUCAUCGGUGCGAAUGUACUUAAACGGGUAGAUUCAUCGGAACUUGCGACAUGGAAUAGCAAAGAAAUGGUUUAUCUAAUAAAUUUAUGUAAAUAGUU